GCCUGGCAGGACCUGGAUUUCAGGACCGAGUUCCUCAGCAGCCCCUCUGCCAAGGCCAGCACCAUGCUAAAAACACCCUGAGAAGUCUAGAGAGUGUCCCUAAGCUCUGAUGACCCCUGGCACCUGAAAAUUGCUUUACUUCAGCCAAGGAUAAGUAAAACUGCUUGUCUAAGAAAACUGGAGAAAUCACAGACAAAGCCCAGGAGCCACGGUUAUCAUUUGCAGCAGAAAUCUGCCCCACCCAGAGGUCCCUGGCCUGGUCUUGCUGCCCAGAAUUCUCACUACACAGCUACCAGAAACCUGGAGCCUUUGGGUACCUGGGAUCCAGGAGCCUUUGAUCUUCAGGCCUGAUGACUGUCAUUUCCAGACUGAAGCCAUCCAUAGCAGGGAAUACAGAAAUGAGACAAUGGGACCAAGAGUAAGCCAAGAGCAAAAUCCUUGUACUCUGCACCUGAAUCAGGUCUUCUUCUGUCUCAGCAACCACACUCCAGUGCAUCCCGACCUGGUGGACUCUGGUGCUCCACAGGCCAGGCUAUUCCAGUCUUUCCUUGAUCACCAACCUGGGUGGCUGAACACCAACUGGGCAUUGGCACUAGAUUGGAAAAACCGACUGAGAUUUCAAAUGGGAACUAGAGCAUAGACUCAGCUUAAAUGCCAACAGAAUCUCAUCUCACUGGAGACUCAGUUUCUGAAACAGGAGCCUGAUCCUUGUAGAAACUAAGCAAUUCUUUUGGUGUGGACAUAGAAUGCUUGUCCUGGACAGGGUUUCCCUGUGCAGCCCUGACUGUCCUGGAACAAGCUCUGUAGACCAGACUGGUCUUGAACUCAGAGAUCCGGCCACCCCUGGCUCUGAUUCCCCAGAGCUGGGAUUAAAGGUGGCCAGCACCAGGACCUUCAGAAUCUCCACUCUUUAUUGAAUGCAAAUAACUGCUGAGACUAUGAACUUAUACCCCAGCAUCCUGCAUUGUAAUGGUUGGAGCUAUCUAGAAGUUAGAGGAAAAAAAGGAAACUAACUGACUUCUGAAUCAGAUGCUCAAGGAAUUCUCCUCUGUGUUACAUAGGUGAGAAUCCAAGAGCACAGAGCACUUCCGUCCGGUUUUGUGGAAGAUAUGUCGAUUCUUCACAGCACACCUCGAAGGACACUUGUCUUGCCAGCCCUGAAAACCCACUAUUCCAUGUCCUGGCCACUGUGUUCCUUAGGAGAGCCAAGCCACUGCUUUGAGAAGAGUUGGUCUGUUGAGUGGGAACUGUUUUCUCUUCCCUGUGGAUUUGAUUGCUUGGACUGCCUCAGAUACCACCCCAGACCAAACAGUGCCAUGAAGAGGGGUGCAGAUGUCUUCCAGAGUGAGAGUCAGAAGAAGCCACAAAUGUCCCCAGGAGAGGGGCACAAGGACAAAGACAGCAAUGUGGAGGAGCCAGACCAACCCUCCACAGGCUUGCUCAGCAUCUGGAAGAAAGGACAGGAACUUGAGACCUGUGAUGGUGGAGACUACCCUGAGCUUGAUCCUGCUUCUCACCCUCCCAGGUGCCUAAGCUGCUGGCCAUGGCUUCAAAGGGCUUUUGACAGGAAGAGAAAAACCAAACAGAAUCUCAGGAGACCUGAUGCCUGCUAAGACUUGCAAUUAGGGGGUCGUCUGUCAGCUCCAGCUAUUACAGCAACACCCCUGCCUCUGCUCACAUGCAAAUGCAGUUUUGUCUUUGCUGAUGUAUGUAUUUUUUUCAGCUUUCUUAAUAAAAGUAUUAAACACCUGGA